AUGGGCACCGAGGUGACGGCCACUGAAAGGACGAGGUUCCGCAAGCAGGACCCCGCUCGCCCCCUAAGUAAGCGGGCGGCUCCUUCUCAGGCACCCUACUCUCUUAGAAGCAAGCUCCGCUUACCCGAACCAGUCCAACUCCUCCCCCUCUCUCAGAAUAAGAAUUGCUCCACUUCGCCGGAAGUACUCCCUGCGUGCUGUCUUUCCCUGUUAGAAGUUUCAGAUUCCAGAGGUGAGCCUCAUGGGACUGGGAGUUUGAGUCAUGGAGAUCUUGGCACAAGAUUUGCAGACAGGGUGGUGAAGCUCACCAGCCAGGUACCUUGUGAGGUCAGGAUGCCUGGAACUUGAGCCCAAUGAGGAUUUGGGUCUUGGAACUGCGACCAUUCUCUGUAGGAAGUGAGUUAAUCUAUGAAGGUAUUUGUUCAUUUUUCCCUCCUAAGAAACUGAGAUGUGCUUCCCAUUUUUUGGUGGGGAUUAAGUUUAUACAUUUUUGAUACCUUUUAAAGUAAAUAUUCCAUUGUAUUUAGUUUCUUUUGUUAUAUAUAGGGCCUUAUUUGGGGGAAAUUGGGUCCUUUGUUUUUGCAGGUACCCCUAGGGAUCAGACUAGAUUGUUGAGAUGCCCCUGAUGUGAGAUACUAGAGAAAUUUGGUAAAUUGCUUUUUAGGCUGUGAACACACAGUUGUUUUUGUUUUGUGUUGUUCUUCAUCCUGUUUGUUCCAUUGUUUUGAUUUAUAAAGCUUUCAUUUGUUGAUCAUCUGACUUUUGUAUCAUGGAAUUAUAAAUAAGGAUUGGUAUGCUGAUAUAUUCUAUAUCAUUGUGACCAGUCAAAGUGCUAGUAUUAAGUUUGCUUGUGAGAAAUUUGAAAUCACUAGAUUUCUAUUUUCUACUAGAAAUGCUCAUAUUCUUCUUCUUAGAUAUACUCUCCUGUUUGUCUUCUGUGAAAGCAGUAUGUCCUACAGCUUCUUAGAGUGAGGCCAAACCUAAAACCCAACAAGUAGCUGAUACUCUUUACUACUUCUCUAACUGAACCUGUCUUACCCUGACCAAAGAGUUCAUGAUUGCAUUGGGUUGCCCUAACAGUUGCAAGGAUCCAUUGGUAAAUUUGGGGUGCACUUUGGGAAAGGGACCUGGAGAAAAUGUCCCCAACUAAUGUGGAUUUCCUAUGCUUGAGGGACUCAAAGAGAAUUUUGGAGUGCCCCGACUAGAGAGAUAAAGGUUCUGUUUUGGUGUGCCCUGUUUGGGAAGAAAUUCUUUUUCUACAGACUCCAGUUGGAUGGUUUUAUGAAUUGAGGGAAUCAUUGGAAAUGGUUCUACCUGGGAUAGAUUUCCUAUUUCAGAAACGGGGAAU
rnacentral:lncRNA from 1 species